rnacentral:rRNA from 1 species
AUACGGAAGGCAGCAGUCGAGAAUUUUUCUCAAUGGGCGAAAGCCUGAAGGAGCGACGCCGCGUGGGGGAUGAAUGGCUUCGGCCCGUAAACCCCUGUCAUUUGCGAACAAAUUGUUUGACCUAAUACGUUAAGCAUUGAUUGUAGCGGAAGAGGAAGGGACGGCUAACUCUGUGCCAGCAGCCGCGGUAAUACAGAGGUCCCAAGCGUUGUUCGGAUUCACUGGGCGUAAAGGGUGCGUAGGCGGUUGUUUAAGUCUGACGUGAAAUCUCCGGGCCUAACCCGGAAACUGCGUUGGAUACUAUUCAACUAGAGGAAUGGAGGGGAGACUGGAAUACUUGGUGUAGCAGUGAAAUGCGUAGAUAUCAAGUGGAACACCAGUGGCGAAGGCGAGUCUCUGGACAUUUCCUGACGCUGAGGCACGAAAGCCAGGGGAGCAAACGGGAUUAGAUACCCCGGUAGC